UGGGAUAUAACUCAGUUGAUAGAGUACUUGCCCCACAUGAAUAGGCUCUGGGUUCAAUCCCCAGCACCACAA
rnacentral:tRNA from 1 species